rnacentral:misc_RNA from 1 species
GCGAGCGUAAAUCUGCAGUCAUCUCAGAUGAAUCGAGGAAGCUGACAGCGUUCCAUGAGGGCGGCCAUGCGCUGGUGGCCAUCCACACCGACGGCGCACUCCCGGUUCACAAGGCGACGAUUGUCCCCCGAGGCAUGGCUCUUGGUAUGGUUGCUCAACUACCCGAUAAGGACGAGACGAGCAUCUCAAGGAAGCAGAUGCUUGCACGGCUGGACGUCUGC